GAUGAACGCUGGCGGCGUGCCUAAUACAUGCAAGUCAAGCGAACAGAUGAGGAGCUUGCUCCUCUGACGUUAGCGGCGGACGGGUGAGUAACACGUGGAUAACCUACCUAUAAGACUGGGAUAACUUCGGGAAACCGGAGCUAAUACCGGAUAAUAUAUUGAACCGCAUGGUUCAAUAGUGAAAGACGGUUUUGCUGUCACUUAUAGAUGGAUCCGCGCCGCAUUAGCUAGUUGGUAAGGUAACGGCUUACCAAGGCAACGAUGCGUAGCCGACCUGAGAGGGUGAUCGGCCACACUGGAACUGAGACACGGUCCAGACUCCUACGGGAGGCAGCAGUAGGGAAUCUUCCGCAAUGGGCGAAAGCCUGACGGAGCAACGCCGCGUGAGUGAUGAAGGUCUUCGGAUCGUAAAACUCUGUUAUUAGGGAAGAACAAAUGUGUAAGUAACUAUGCACGUCUUGACGGUACCUAAUCAGAAAGCCACGGCUAACUACGUG
rnacentral:rRNA from 1 species